rnacentral:rRNA from 1 species
UCAGCAGCCGCGGUAAUACGUAGAGUGCAAGCGUUUUCCGGAAUUAUUGGGCGUAAAGGGUACGCAGGCGGAUAAUCAAGUCAAGCGUGAAAGGUGUCGGCUUAACCGACAGACUGCGUUUGAAACUGGUUAUCUUGAGUGUAACAGAGGAGAGUGGAAUUCCUAGUGUAGUGGUGAAAUACGUAGAUAUUAGGAAGAACACCAGUGGCGAAGGCGACUCUCUGGGUUAACACUGACGCUGAGGGACGAAAGCUGGGGGAGCGAACGGGAUUAGAUACCCCGGUAGUCCCAGCCGUAAACGAUGGAUACUAGGUGUUGGAGGUUCGAAUCCUUCAGUGCCGAGAGUUAACGCAUUAAGUAUCCCGCCUGGGGAGUACGAUCGC